rnacentral:hammerhead_ribozyme from 1 species
AUCUAGAUGACGAGUCCCCAAAAUAGGACGGAAUGUGCAUCCUGGAU